rnacentral:rRNA from 1 species
GACGAACGCUGGCGGCGUGCUUAACACAUGCAAGUCGAACGGAAAGGCCCCCAUCUUGGUGGGGGUGCUCGAGUGGCGAACGGGUGAGUAACACGUGGGUGAUCUGCCCUGUACUUCGGGAUAAGCUUGGGAAACUGGGUCUAAUACCGGAUAGGACCAUGGUUUAGUGUCUCAUGGUGGAAAGAUUAUUGUUUUGGUGCAGGAUGAGCUCGCGGCCUAUCAGCUUGUUGGUGGGGUAAUGGCCUACCAAGGCGUCGACGGGUAGCCGGCCUGAGAGGGUGGACGGCCACAUUGGGACUGAGAUACGGCCCAGACUCUUACGGGAGGCAGCAGUGGGGAAUAUUGCACAAUGGGCGCAAGCCUGAUGCAGCGACGCCGCGUGGGGGAUGACGGCCUUCGGGUUGUAAACUCCUUUCGUUAGGGACGAAGCCGCACUUUUUUUGGGUGUGGUGACGGUACCUUUGUUAAGAAGCACCGGCUAACUACGUG